UUACGGCCAGAUCAUUUUAAAACAGCGGUUCCCGUACGAUCACUGAAGUUAAGCAGCGUCGAGCCUGGUCAAUACCUAGAUAAAUGACGGCUGGGAGUACCAGGAGCUGUAA